GGGUCAGUAGGUUGGUCGUGCCACCGGUACGUACUGGUCUCACUGAUUCCUCCUUCCUGAAGAACCGUAAUGCCAUUAAUUUGGUGUUGCGGGGAAACAGGACUGUUACUUUGAAAAAACUAGAGUGUUUAAAGCAAGCUAAUGCUUGAAUACAUUAGCAUGGAAUAAUGAAAUAGGACGAUCGAUCCUAUUUUGUUGGUUUCUAGGAUUGACGUA
rnacentral:rRNA from 1 species